rnacentral:rRNA from 1 species
AUACGGAGGAUCCGAGCGUUAUCCGGAUUUAUUGGGUUUAAAGGGUGCGCAGGCGGGAGAUUAAGUCGGCGGUGAAAUUUUGCAGCUCAACUGUAAAAGUGCCUUCGAAACUGGUUUCCUUGAGUGUAGAUGAAGUAGGCGGCAUUUUUGGUGUAGCGGUGAAAUGCAUAGAUAUCACGAGGAACUCCGAUUGCGCAGGCAGCUUACUAAACUACUACUGACGCUCAGGCACGAAGGCGUGGGGAUCAAACAGGAUUAGAUACCCUGGUAGUCCACGCAGUAAACGAUGAUUACUAGCUGUUUGCGAUACAAUGUAAGCGGCUGAGCGAAAGCGUUAAGUAAUCCACCUGGGGAGUACGUUCGCAAGAAUGAAACUCAAAGGAAUUGACGGGG